UCCAGAUUCAGACCAAUCUGCUAGUGAUGGGGGUAGAGACUGAGAGCUACAUGGAAAGAAUAUGCACCAAACAAGCCACUUUGAAAUGUUGCUGUUUUCAUGAAUCCAAAAGUUGGGUGACCCCCCCAUCCUAGACUAAAAAAUAUUGGGUGACCCUCCCCUCAACCAAGAAUAAAAAGAGGUGACCCUCCCCUAUUUUACUCUGGUGGUCCAUUCCAUAAACACCGAACGGUCUCUUACAUGAUUUGUUUGGCUCCAGCUCUGUGAGAU